GCGUACGAGCGCGGCAUCUCGCUGUUCAAGUGGCCCAACGUGUCCGACAUCUGGAGCACCUACCUGACCAAAUUCAUUGCCCGCUAUGGGGGCCGCAAGCUGGAGCGGGCACGGGACCUGUUUGAACAGGCUCUGGACGGCUGCCCCCCAAAAUAUGCCAAGACCUUGUACCUGCUGUACGCACAGCUGGAGGAGGAGUGGGGCCUGGCCCGGCAUGCCAUGGCCGUGUACGAGCGCGCCACCAGGGCCGUGGAGCCCGCCCAGCAGUACGACAUGUUCAACAUCUACAUCAAGCGGGCGGCCGAGAUCUAUGGGGUCACCCACACCCGUGGCAUCUACCAGAAGGCCAUUGAGGUGCUGUCGGACGAGCACGCGCGUGAGAUGUGCCUGCGGUUUGCAGACAUGGAGUGCAAGCUCGGGGAGAUUGACCGGGCCCGGGCCAUCUACAGCUUCUGCUCCCAGAUCUGUGACCCCCGGGUAGGGCUCGGGGCUGUGGGGAGGGACGGGUAUCAGGGUUGGGGGCUGUGGCGGAGUCAGCCAGCUCACGGGCACACACACCCACCCCUGCCCUGCCCCCCACGCAGACGACCGGCGCAUUCUGGCAGACGUGGAAGGACUUUGAGGUCCGGCAUGGCAAUGAGGACACCAUCAAGGAAAUGCUGCGUAUCCGGCGCAGCGUGCAGGCCACGUACAACACGCAGGUCAACUUCAUGGCCUCGCAGAUGCUCAAGGUCUCGGGCAGUGCCACGGGCACCG
rnacentral:sRNA from 1 species